rnacentral:rRNA from 1 species
GACGAACCGUCCUAACGUUAUUCGGAAUCACUGGGCUUAAAGGGCGCGUAGGCGGAUGAGCAAGUCCGGAGUGAAAGCCUUCGGCUUAACCGGAGAAGUGCUUUGGAUACUGCUCGUCUUGAGGGAGGUAGGGGCAUGUGGAACUUCUGGUGGAGCGGUGAAAUGCGUUGAUAUCAGAAGGAACGCCGGUGGCGAAAGCGACGUGCUGGCCCUCUUCUGACGCUGAGGCGCGAAAGCUAGGGGAGCAAACGGG